rnacentral:rRNA from 1 species
GAUGAACGCUGGCGGCGUGCCUAAUACAUGCAAGUCGAGCGAAUGGAUUAAGAGCUUGCUCUUAUGAAGUUAGCGGCGGACGGGUGAGUAACACGUGGGUAACCUGCCCAUAAGACUGGGAUAACUCCGGGAAACCGGGGCUAAUACCGGAUAACAUUUUGAACCGCAUGGUUCGAAAUUGAAAGGCGGCCUCGGCUGUCACUUAUGGAUGGACCGGCGUCGCAUUAGCUAGUUGGUGAGGUAACGGCUCACUAAGGCAACGAUGCGUAGCCGACCUGAGAGGGUGAUCGGCCACACUGGGACUGAGACACGGCCCAGACUCCCACGGGAGGCAGCAGUAGGGAAUCUUCCGCAAUGGACGAAAGUCUGACGGAGCAACGCCGCGUGAGUGAUGAAGGCUUUCGGGUCGUAAAACUCUGUUGUUAGGGAAGAACAAGUGCUAGUUGAAUAAGCUGGCACCUUGACGGUACCUAACCAGAAAGCCACGGCUAACUACGUGCCAGCAGCCGCAGUAA